UGGCUCAGUGGUAAAGCAUCUGCCUGAAAUGUAGGAGACCCAGGUUCAACCCCCGG
rnacentral:tRNA from 1 species